rnacentral:lncRNA from 1 species
CGUAAACACCGGAAACAAGACCCUAUCUGUCGGAGGUUUAGCGCCGUCGACAACCGAUCGAGUGGCGUACACGAUGAACCAUCGAACAAUACAGAUGAUGCUGGCUCACUUUGGCAUCAGAAGGAUUGAUGGCACUGUGACUGUAGGCCAAGUAGAAGAUGUUGUUAUGAAAGAAAUGAGUGGUCCAAGGAAACAUAUGCAGGCUACCGACAGAUGACAAAGGCAGUACGCGAAGAGAACAAGCUGUUCGUACCAAGGCAAGUGGCCUUGGUAUAUGCUGCCAUGAUGAAGGGGGAUCCCGAAGGGUUGACAUCUAGGGCCACACACGGGAAGAAAGGAAUUGGUCGUAGACGUGUAUUCUACAGUAAGGUAUAUAGCUUCUGGAUCUAACUUAAAUUGUGGACGAGCUAAAAGACGGGCAUAUCAUAGGCGCAGAAAUGAAACGUGUUUUUUUCUGUCUUUAUAAUUUCUUAACUAACAGAUUAUUAUGUGGCAACGAGAAUUAUACUGCGCCACAGAUGAUGACUCAUCAGACAUGGGUUCGUGUCUGCACACGACCCAGCUAAUUAUAGAAAUCAAGGUGGCGACCGGAAAUGAUAUGGGCAGUAGAAGGUUCGAGAAAGGGGAAAUGAUGUAAUCUAAUGAAUCACAUGACCGGUCACGUGGGCUGCCCAUUGAUUAGAUUGAUACCUAUAAGAGGCCAUUCAAUUUUUGACAGGCUCAUCUGGUUUCAAUAUUACAUUUAAUGCAAACAUGGCAUCAUCAUGCAUCUCCUUCAAAAAUCUUUCCAUAUCACACCUGUUGUUAAAUGAAAAAGCUGUGAUGUCAGCUAGUUCACGAUCUAUAUCAACUUCAGAAUUUAUAUUAUGAGCACAGAGCGCCAAUAUUUGUGAGUGGCGUGGUCGUGGCACUGAAACUGUUCCUUUUAGUUCAUUUUUGUGUUUCCGAAUCCAAAGUAAUCCUUGCUGAAUGGUUUGAAAUAUUGCAAUCUUCAUAUUGUUCAUCUGAAACAAACAGUUUGAUAAUAAUGUAAAUACUUCACGUCCGUUGCUGCUGUUAGUUUACAGCUUGAAAAUUCACUUGAACCGACUUGAACAUUUGCACUAAAUAUGCAACAUAUUGCUACAAAUAGUAUAUUGUGAUUACAAAUUCAUGCUGUUUUUGGUGAGCUUGUAACUGCUGCAUAUCAAAAGGGUCGAAAGUAUUUUGGAUAACUCACCAGAACAAGAAUAAUAGCAACCAUGUCAAUUCAUCUUCUAAUGAUCCUAUAUGCAUUAAAAACAAUAAUUUUCUA